AUUGAACGCUGGCGGCAGGCCUAACACAUGCAAGUCGAGCGGAUGAAGGGAGCUUGCUCCUGGAUUCAGCGGCGGACGGGUGAGUAAUGCCUAGGAAUCUGCCUGGUAGUGGGGGAUAACGUCCGGAAACGGGCGCUAAUACCGCAUACGUCCUGAGGGAGAAAGUGGGGGAUCUUCGGACCUCACGCUAUCAGAUGAGCCUAGGUCGGAUUAGCUAGGUGGUGGGGUAAAGGCCUACCAAGGCGACGAUCCGUAACUGGUCUGAGAGGAUGAUCAGUCACCCUGGAACUGAGACACGGUCCAGACUCCUACGGGAGGCAGCAGUGGGGAAUAUUGGACAAUGGGCGAAAGCCUGAUCCAGCCAUGCCGCGUGUGUGAAGAAGGUCUUCGGAUUGUAAAGCACUUUAAGUUGGGAGGAAGGGCAGUAAGUUAAUACCUUGCUGUUUUGACGUUACCAACAGAAUAAGCACCGGCUAACUUCGUG
rnacentral:rRNA from 1 species